UUUGAGUUUGAUCCUGGCUCAGGAUGAACGCUGGCGGUGUGCCUAAUGCAUGCAAGUCGAACGAGGUCGCAAGACCGAGUGGCGAACGGGUGAGUAACGCGUAGGAAUCUGCCCCGAACCAGAGAAUACCCAGCCGAAAGGUUGGCUAAUACUCUAUAGUCCCGCAAGGGUAAAGAUUUAUCGGUUCGGGAGGAGCCUGCGUCCUAUCAGCUAGUUGGUGAGGUAACGGCUUACCAAGGCAGUGACGGGUAGCUGGACUGAGAGGUUGACCAGCCACAAUGGGACUGAGACACGGCCCAUACUCCUACGGGAGGCAGCAGCAGGGAAUUUUGCGCAAUGGACGAAAGUCUGACGCAGCGACACCGCGUGGAGGAUGAAGGCCUUCGGGUUGUAAACUCCUUUUGCAUGGGACGAUUAUGACGGUACCAUGCGAAUAAGCACCGACUAACUACGUGCCAGCAGUCGCGGUAAUACGUAGGGUGCAAGCGUUAUCCGGAUUUAUUGGGCGUAAAGCGCUCGUAGGUGGUUAAUUAAGUCUUCUGUUAAAGCUCCGGGCUCAACUCGGAGAGGCAGAAGAUACUGAUUGGCUAGAGGGUGGCAGAGGCUAGCGGAAUUCUAGGUGUAGGAGUGAAAUCCUUUGAUAUCUAGAAGAACACCAAUGGCGAAGGCAGCUAGCUAGGUCACAUCUGACACUGAGGAGCGAAAGCGUGGGGAGCGAACGGGAUUAGAUACCCCGGUAGUCCACGCCGUAAACUAUGUUCACUGGCUGUCAGGAGAAUCGACCUCCUUGCAGCGAAGCUAACGCGUCAAGUGAACCGCCUGGGAAGUACGGCCGCAAGGCUAAAACUCAAAGGAAUUGACGGGGGCUCGCACAAGCGGUGGAACAUGAGGUUUAAUUCGAUGAUAAGCGGAGAACCUUACCAGGACUUGACAUCCCAAGAAGGACCUAGAGAUAGGACUGUGCCGUAAGGAGCUUGGUGACAGGUGCUGCACGGUUGUCGUCAGUUCGUGUCGUGAGAUGUACCGUUAAGUCGGCUAACGAACGAAACCCUUGUCCUGUGUUGAAUUUUUCACAGGAGACCGCCUCGUACAACGGGGAGGAAGGUGGGGACGACGUCAAAUCAGCGUGGCCCUUACGUCCUGGGAUACACUCGUGUUACAAUGCCAUGUACAAAGGGUUGCAAAGUCGUGAGACGGAGCUAAUCCCAUAAAACAUGGCCCAGUUCGGAUUGAAGUCUGCAACUCGACUUCAUGAAGCCGGAAUCGCUAGUAAUCGUGGAUCAGAACGCCACGGUGAAUACGUUCUCGAGCCUUGUACACACCGCCCGUCAAGUGAGCCGAGUUGGUAGCACCAGAAGCGCCUGUAUAGGUUCCAAGGUGAGAUCAGCAAGGAGCACUAAGUCGUAACAAGGUAAC
rnacentral:rRNA from 1 species